rnacentral:rRNA from 1 species
UACGAAGGGGGGCUAGCGUUGUUCGGAAUCACUGGGCGUAAAGGGCGCGUAGGCGGCCGGCCAAGUCGGGGGGUGAAAGCCUGUGGCUCAACCACAGAAUGGCCCUCGAUACUGGACGGCUCGAGACCGGAAGAGGUUGGUGGAAUUGCGAGUGUAGAGGUGAAAUUCGUAGAUAUUCGCAAGAACACCGGUGGCGAAGGCGGCCAACUGGUCCGGAUCUGACGCUGAGGCGCGAAAGCGUGGGGAGGCAAACAGG